UAAAGCUUCAAACUGGGAUUAGAUACCCCACUAUUCAUAUAUUGUAAAUGAAUUAGAUUUACCAGAGUACUAUGAAUGGAUUAUAAUUUAAAACUCAAAGGGCUUGGCGGUGUUUUAGACCAAUUAGGGGAACCUGUCUCAUAAUCGACAAUCCACGUUAGACCUGACCUUUUUUAGUAGACAGUUUGUAUACCGUCGUCGUCAGGUAACUUUUUAAAAUAUAGAAGUUAGCAAAAAUAAUAAUGUUAAUUAAGACGUCAGAUCAAGGUGCAGUUUAUAAAGAGGAGAGGAUGGGUUACAAUUAUAGAUUUAUAAUACGGACAAUUUAAUGAAAAAAUUUUCAAGGAGGACUUAAAAGUAAUAACGUAAUAUAUAGAUGGCUUGAAUAAGGCUCUGAAACGUGCACACACCGCCCGUCACCCUCUGCAGUCAAAAAAA
rnacentral:rRNA from 1 species